GUCGAGCGGUAAGGCCCUUCGGGGUACACGAGCGGCGAACGGGUGAGUAACACGUGAGCAACCUGCCCCCGACUCCGGGAUAAGCGGUGGAAACGCCGUCUAAUACCGGAUACGACACACCGCCUCAUGGCGGUGUGUGGAAAGUUUUUCGGUCGGGGAUGGGCUCGCGGCCUAUCAGCUUGUUGGUGGGGUAACGGCCUACCAAGGCGAUUACGGGUAGCCGGCCUGAGAGGGCGACCGGCCACACUGGGACUGAGACACGGCCCAGACUCCUGCGGGAGGCAGCAGUGGGGAAUAUUGCGCAAUGGGCGAAAGCCUGACGCAGCGACGCCGCGUGGGGGAUGACGGCCUUCGGGUUGUAAACCUCUUUUACCACCAACGCAGGCUCCCAGUUCUCUGGGGGUUGACGGUAGGUGGGGAAUAAGGACCGGCUAACUACGUGCCAGCAGCCGCGGUAAUACGUAGGGUCCGAGCGUUGUCCGGAAUUAUUGGGCGUAAAGAGCUCGUAGGCGGCGUGUCGCGUCUGCUGUGAAAGACCGGGGCUUAACUCCGGUUCUGCAGUGGAUACGGGCAUGCUAGAGGUAGGUAGGGGAGACUGGAAUUCCUGGUGUAGCGGUGAAAUGCGCAGAUAUCAGGAGGAACACC
rnacentral:rRNA from 1 species